rnacentral:rRNA from 1 species
AGAGUUUGAUCCUGGCUCAGGAUGAACGCUAGCGGCAGGCUUAACACAUGCAAGUCGAGGGGCAGCGCGGAGUAGCAAUACUCUGGCGGCGACCGGCGGAAGGGUGCGUAACACGUGAGCGACUUGCCCGUCACAGGGAGAUAACCGCUGGAAACGGCGACUAAUAUCCCAUAUGAUGGCGAUCUGCAUGGAUUGUCAUUGAAAGAUUCAUCGGUGACGGAUAGGCUCGCGGGGCAUUAGCUAGACGGCGGGGCAACGGCCCACCGUGGCGACGAUGCCUAGGGGUUCUGAGAGGAAGACCCCCCACACUGGGACUGAGACACGGCCCAGACUCCUACGGGAGGCAGCAGUGAGGAAUAUUGGUCAAUGGGCGGAAGCCUGAACCAGCCAUGCCGCGUGAAGGACUAAGGCCCUAUGGGUCGUAAACUUCUUUAGACGCAGAGCAAUAAGGGUCUCGUGAGAUCCGAUGAGAGUAUGCGUAGAAUAAGCAUCGGCUAACUCCGUGCCAGCAGCCGCGGUAAUACGGGGGAUGCGAGCGUUAUCCGGAUUUAUUGGGUUUAAAGGGUGCGUAGGCGGAAGUGCAAGUCAGCGGUGAAAUCCCCGCGCUCAACGCGGGAGUUGCCGUUGAUACUGUACAUCUGGAAUGCUCUUGCCGUGGGAGGAAUGAGUAGUGUAGCGGUGAAAUGCAUAGAUAUUACUCAGAACACCGAUUGCGAAGGCAUCUCACGAAGGGGCGAUUGACGCUGAGGCACGAAAGCGUGGGUAUCGAACAGGAUUAGAUACCCUGGUAGUCCACGCAGUAAACGAUGAAUACUAACUGUUUGCGAUACAAUGUAAGCGGUACAGCGAAAGCGUUAAGUAUUCCACCUGGGGAGUACGCCGGCAACGGUGAAACUCAAAGGAAUUGACGGGGGCCCG